GAGUGGUGAAUCUCUGGAACUCUCUGCCACAGAGGGUAGUUGAGGCCACUUCAUUGGCUAUAUUUAAGAGGGAGUUAGAUGUGGCCCUUGUGGCUAAGGGGAUCAGGGGGUAUGGAGAGAAGGCAGGUACGGGAUACUGAGUUGGAUGAUCAGCCAUGAUCAUAUUGAAUGGCGGUGCAGGCUCGAAGGGCCGAAUGGCCUACUCCUGCACCUAAUUUCUAUGUUUCUAUGUUUCUAUGUACAUGGAUAGGACAGGUUUAGAGGAAUAUGGGCCAAAUGCAGGCAGGUGUAGAUGGGACAUGUUGGUUGGCGUGGGCAAGUUGGGCUGAAAGACUGUUUCCAUGCUGUAUGACUAUGAGAGAACGAAAGAGAAGGAAUCAUACUCUAUCAGUGUGUAGAAAGGAACUGCAGAUGCUACUUUAUAUCGAAGAUAGACACAAAGUGUCGGAGUAACUCAGUGGGUCAGCCAGCAUCUCCGGAGAAAUAAGGAUGGGUGAUGUUUCGGAUCGGGACCCUUCUUCAGACUGAAACUAGGGGGGAGGGAACUGGAAGCAAGAAAAGGCCAGACAAAGCAGGGCCGAUGGUGUCAGUAUCGUCUAGUUUGUGGAGGAGAGAAAGAGGGAGAAGAUAGACACACAAUGCUGGGGUAACCCAGCGGGACAGGCAGCAUCUCUGGAAAGAAGGAAUGGAUGACGUUUCAGGUCGAGGCCCUUCUUCAAGAGAAGGGUCUGUUUGCACACAUCCUGAUUACUUCGCAAGAGGUCAGCGGCUGUAUCAUUCAUGGUGUUCACGGAGAUGUCUCCGGCCAGCUCUCCCGACUGGAGGCGGAGCAGGCAUGGAUUUACGAGCUUAAACUGGGACCAUGAAAGGGAACAGACAGCAAGAACUGCUAUCUAAGCUUUCCAGUCCCGGAGAAACCUAAAAACCCUGGGAGUACAAAAAACCUGUGGGAGUAAAAGUGAAUCAUGUUUUCCACACGACUAAAAAUCGGUGUAAGAAUGUAACAGGAUGGUGAUAGUGUUAAAUAUGCACUGAAAUUCUACGUCAAUAUGCAAAAUACAAUAUCUGUAAAGAAAGCAAGCCCAUAUUCCAUUUGCAGGAAGGACUUGUAGGAUUUUAAGUUACCAUUUCCCUUGCUGCUAAUUUUUCACCUCCCUGUUUAAAUUUUUCAAUCCCCUCCUCAUUUUUCCAUUGAAUGGGCUCAAUUUUACUAUUCGGUUUUAUUUUGGAAAAGAACACGGUGAAAACCGUAUCUCUUUACCUCUAGUUUUUUAUACUAUUGUAUCCUGAUAUUAUUAGUGAUCAAAAUUCGUGAAGAAGUCGAGAAGAAGUCUUCUUGAUGGAGUCCGGCGGAACGGUGGCGCAGCGGUAGAUUCGCAACCUUACAGCGCCAGAGAUCCCGGUUCGAUCCACACUAUGGAUGCUGUCUGUAUGGAUUCUGUACGUUCUCCCUGUGACCACGUGGGUUAUCCCCGGGUGCUCCGGUUUCCUCCCACACUCUGAAGACGUGCAGGUUUGUAGGUUAAUUGGCUUGGUAUAAAUGUAGAAUUGUCCCAAGUGUGUGUAGGGUAGUGUUAAUGUGCGGGGAUCGGUGGACAGUGCGGACCGAAGGGCCUGUUUCCACGCCGUAUCCCUAAAACAAAAAAAAACUACAACUGAAUCCAUAAUAAUUUCCCUGCAACUUUAAAG